rnacentral:rRNA from 1 species
AACGUAGGACGCAAGCGUUAUCCGGAGUUACUGGGCGUAAAGCGCGAGCAGGCGGCUCGACAAGUUCGCUGUGAAAGCUCCCGGCUCAACCGGGCGAGGCCAGUGGAAACUAUCGAGCUGGAGGGCAGUAGAGGCAGGCGGAAUUCCAGGUGUAGCGGUGAAAUGCGUAGAUAUCUGGAGGAACACCGGUGGCGAAGGCGGCAUCCUGGACCAACACUGACACUGAGGAGCGAAAGCCAGGGGAGCAAACGGG